AAUUUUGGACAAUGGGGGCAACCCUGAUCCAGCCAUCCCGCGUGUGCGAUGAAGGCCUNCGGGUUNUNAAGCACUUUUGGCAGGGNCGAAAAGGCUCUGGCUAAUACCUGGAGCUGCUGACGGUACCUGCAGAAUAAGCACCGGCUAACUACGUGCCAGCAGCCGCGGUAAUAAGUAGGGUGCAAGCGUUAAUUGGAAUUACUGGGCGUAAAGCGUGCGCAGGCGGUUCGGCAAGAAGGAUGUGAAAUCCCAGGGCUUAACCUUGGAACUGCAUUCUUAACUGCCGGGCUAGAGUAUGUCAGAGGGGGGUAGAAUUCCGCGUGUAGCAGUGAAAUGCGUAGAGAUGCGGAGGAAUACCGAUGGCGAAGGCAGCCCCCUGGGAUAAUACUGACGCUCAUGCACGAAAGCGUGGGGAGCAAACAGG
rnacentral:rRNA from 1 species